rnacentral:rRNA from 1 species
UUUUAAGCUUAGUUAUACCUUACUAUAAUAAAAAACAAAAUUUUAAAAUUUCAGUUAUAUGGCUUAAUAAAUAAUUUUGUUAAACCAAGUGAUAAAUCAACAAACAAAACUGGGGUAGAAUCCAAGUAUGCUAAACUUUACAGGUAAUAUAAACAAACCUAAAUUGUGUGGCAGUUAUUUAUUCUUUUUAGAGAAUUUUGGUUAAUAAUUUGAUAGCCCACAAUUUUAUUUAUUAAAUUUUAGCUUAUGUGUGGUUGUUAAGAAAUAAAACUGAUUUUAAAUCUUUCCCAAAUAACAUGUAGUUUAAUUUAAGAGAAACUGAAAUGCUUUAUGAUUUUAUUAAAAAAUAAUAGUAUUUAAUAGUAGGCAAAAAAACUCGAAUUAGUUAUAAAUAAGGUUCAUAUUGUCCGUCACUCUCUUUA